rnacentral:rRNA from 1 species
UACGUAGGGUGCGAGCGUUAAUCGGAAUUACUGGGCGUAAAGCGUGCGCAGGCGGUUUUGUAAGCCAGAUGUGAAAUCCCCGGGCUUAACCUGGGAACUGCGUUUGAAACUGGAAGGCUAGAGUGUGGCAGAGGGGGGUGGAAUUCCACGUGUAGCAGUGAAAUGCGUAGAUAUGUGGAGGAACACCGAUGGCGAAGGCAGCCCCCUGGGCUAACACUGACGCUCAUGCACGAAAGCGUGGGGAGCAAACAGG